rnacentral:miRNA from 1 species
GGACGGUUCGAGUAAGUGAUAUUUCGGAACAGUAUCUAGUUCCUUCAAUACCAAUUGAAGGAACUAGAUACUGUUCCGAAAUAUCACUUACUCGAUU